rnacentral:rRNA from 1 species
CUGCCGUGAAUACGUUCCCGGGCCUUGUACACACUGCCCGUCACACCAUGAGAGUUGGGAAUACCCGAAGCCUGUGAGCUAACAUUAUGAGGCAGCAGUCGAAGGUAGAAUCAAUGAUUGGGGUGAAGUCGUAACAAGGUACC